rnacentral:rRNA from 1 species
CAUUAAAUCAGUUAUCGUUUAUUUGAUGGUACCUUACUACUUGGAUAACCGUGGUAAUUCUAGAGCUAAUACAUGCUGAAAACCCCGACUUCGGGAGGGGUGUAUUUAUUAGAUAAAAAACCAACGCCCUUCGGGGCUCCUUGGUGAUUCAUGAUAACUUCUCAGAUCGCAUGGCCUUGCGCCGGCGACGGUUCAUUCAAAUUUCUGCCCUAUCAACUUUCGAUGGUAAGGUAUUGGCUUACCAUGGUUUCAACGGGUAACGGGGAAUUAGGGUUCGAUUCCGGAGAGUGAGCCUGAAAGACAGCUCACACAUCCAAGGAAGGCAGCAGGCGCGCAAAUUACCCAAUCCCGACACGGGGAGGUAGUGACAAUAAAUACUGAUACAGGGCUCUUUUGGGUCUUGUAAUUGGAAUGAGUACAAUUUAAACCUCUUAACGAGGAACAAUUGGAGGGCAAGUCUGGUGCCAGCAGCCGCGGUAAUUCCAGCUCCAAUAGCGUAUAUUAAAGUUGUUGCAGUUAAAAAGCUCGUAGUUGAACCUUUGGCCUGGCUGGCAGGUCCGCCUCACCGCGUGCACUUGUCCGGCCGGGCCUUCUCUUCUGGAGAACCGCAUGCCCUUCACUGGGUGUGCUGGGGACCAGGACUUUUACUUUGAAAAAAUUAGAGUGUUCAAAGCAGGCCUUUGCUCGAAUACGUUAGCAUGGAAUAAUAGAAUAGGACGUGCGGUCCUAUUUUGUUGGUUUCUAGGACCGCCGUAAUGAUUAAUAGGGACAGUCGGGGGCAUCAGUAUUCAAUUGUCAGAGGUGAAAUUCUUGGAUUUAUUGAAGACUAACUACUGCGAAAGCAUUUGCCAAGGAUGUUUUCAUUAAUCAGUGAACGAAAGUUAGGGGAUCGAAGACGAUCAGAUACCGUCGUAGUCUUAACCAUAAACUAUGCCGACUAGGGAUCGGGCGGUGUUUUUAUUUUGACCC